UCGCCUUUCACUCUUCUUAUGCCCCCGAUACCCCGAUCAUUCCUGACAGCUCCUGAGUGCCCGGAUUUCAUCAUCCAGCCCUGCAGGAUGCUCCCAUUUCUCCUGAGGAUGGCUGUCCCAGAUGGAGAAGAGGAGAUGGAGGUGGAUAUAGAGAUUGAUAGAGAGGAGGACAUGGAGACGGAGGGAGAAGACACUGGGGAGGAGGAGAUGGAGGUGGAGGUGAAGGUGGAAGAGGAGAUGGAAGUGGAUAUGGAAGAGUCCAUUGAGGACAUGGACAUUGAUUAAAAAGGUGUGAUGGACAGCACAGACAGAGACACCACCCUUGUGUAUAUAUGUUCUACACUUUGUUGUUGUUCUUUAGAAUAUAGAUUGUAGGGCUAUUUUUGACUUCUGUAAAUACGUUUCCCAUAGUUUUGCUAGGUAGGUUUUUCUUUAUAUAUGUUCUAUCGAUUGUUGUUGUUACAAAUAUUCUUACAAUGUAAAUAUGUUCUGUAUUUUUGCUGCUGUUCUUCUGUAAUAAACAAAUUUUAUUUUUCACACCCCAGUUCUCCUUGCAUUUGCUUCAGGCACAGGCAGCAUUUUGCAAAGUUGUAGUUUCCACUUGCUCCAGGUUCCCAGGGCUGGAGGUCAGAAGUAGAUGAAGGGGAAAAAAAUGCACAAUUAAAGGUGUCCAAGACACCCAGAGCCAAAAGAAGCCCAGGGGAUUAGGAAAGAGGGAAGCACGUGCUCCAAACAACAGCAGAAAUGAAGUGAGAGCUCUGGAGGGAAUAAAAGAAAGAGGAAGUCUGAAGAAAGGAAAAAACGUCUCCCCACAAGGUGUUUUGCUUUUUUUCCUUGAGAGCCUCUUCUAUCAUGUGGUGGAAACCCAGAAAAAUAAAGGUCAGGAGAAGCAUGGUUUAUUGGGAACAUUCCUCCUUAGUAGACAAUCCUUGUGCAAAUCAUCCCAUGCAGCACUCACACAUUUAAUUGCUUCUCUUCCUGGGGAUGCAGAGUUGCUUUAUUUACUCCAAGCAAGAUUUUCUCCCUCCUCCCUGGCAAAGAACAAGCUCCCAUCCUGGCAAGCGCUCACUUCUUUCCUUAACACUCAUCACACCCAUGCUAAGGAGAGUGGAGAAGGUUAAUUUAUCACUUGUUGCAAGUUCUAAGUCCUUCUUAGAUAAGGACCAUGUUCAGCUGAGUGACAGUGAAGCAAAAUGGCAAGCCAGGAAUACAUUGCCGUGCACACAACAUCCUCCAUUCACAUGGAUGGUAUCUCACUGGCACACAGGAGGAAGGAAGGAACCCAAAUGCAUCAUUGUACAUCAAGUCAUAAAUGUUGAGGGAUGAACAGAUCUCAUGGGGAGAUGGAAACCUCCCCUGAAAAGCAGUUCAGAGAAAUCCUGAGCUGUUUUGUGCUGCUAGGCAUGAAGAUGCUCAGGAUCUUCCACAGGUGCUCAGCAGGCAGCAGGAUUGUGGCUGGAUGUCACUCUGGAAAUGCCAGUGGCUCAGCUGAGAGCUCUGGCAGUGACUGACACUGCACU